UAAAUGUACGGAGUGUUCUAAAUCCUUCCCUACUCCUGGAGAUUUAAAAAGUCACAUGUAUGUUCAUAAUGGAUCCUGGCCUUUCAAAUGUCAGAUUUGUAAUCGAGGUUUCAGUAAACAAACCAGCUUGAAAAAUCAUCUCGUUCUUCAUUCAGGUGACAGACCACAUCAAUGUUUGACCUGUAAUAAGAGAUUCUCUCUGGCAUGUAAUCUCAAAACUCACAUGAAAAUACACGAUGAAGAUUCCUCUCCAGUCUGUACCAGAUGUAACAAGAUGGCCGCUACCUCUGAUGGAUUAUGUUUGAAAUGUCGUGGUGACGUCAGAAUAUCGCCAGAUGAGGGUCACACAGGUUCAUACAGCAAAACGUCACAAUCUUCGUCAAGUUUUAUGUCAUCACAAUUGUCAUCCGAUGUAACGUCACAGACUCAGUCAGGUUUUACGUCAUCUCGAUCACCCUCAGAUUUCAGUAUCAGUAAAAUAACAGAGAGAAGUUUUAAAAGACAGAGAUUGGAAUCUAAUAAUUUUUAUAAUGGCAGCCAUUCACCCUAUCCUGUGUAUUGUAGUACUCCUGUUAACAGUCAAACUUCAUUUUCUACCAUGUCGUCAUCACCUCAAUCUAAUCACUUCCUGUCAGCCAUGUUGCUAUCUAGAAACACACGUGAUUUGAUGACGUCGGGUUACUAAACUGUGGUUGCGCUAAUAACGCCAGUGUAACUUUGGUUGUCACGUGUUAAUGACACCUGUUUAAUAUUGGUUGUUUUGUAUUAAUGGUGCCAGUGUAACAUUGGUUUUUCUUGUUAAUGCCGCCAGGCUAACUUUGGUUGUUUCGUGUUAAUGGCUGUGGUUGUUUCGUGUUAAUGGCGCCAGUAUAGUUAAUAGUGGUUGUUUCGUGUUAAUGGCGCCAGUAUAGUUACAUGUGGUUAUUUUGUGUAUAACGCCAGUGUAACUUCAGUUGUUUCGUAUUAAUGACGCCAGGUUAACUUUGGUCGUUUCCUGUGAAUGACGCCAAUGUAUUUUACUGUGGUUUAUUCGUUUUAAUGAUGCCAAUAUAUUCAAAUGUGGUUUAUUCGAGUAAUACACAGUUUCAUAUAGUUAUGUCGGUAUUUUAACCUAAGCUAACCUUGACCCUAACCAGUUAACAUAUGCAUGUGCUUAACAUUCCUUACUACAAUAUUACGAAAAACCCAUCUCAUCAACGUGACGCAUACACCACUCCUUUAAAUCCCUUACUACAAUAUUACGAAAGUCCCAUCUCAUCAUCGUAACACAUAGACCACUCCUUUACAUCCCUUACAACAAUAUUACGAAAGCCCCAUCUCAUCAACGUGACGCAUACGCUAUUCUUUUACAUUCCUUACAAACUAAAAUAUUAUAAAAGUCCCAUCUCAUUAACGUGA